rnacentral:tRNA from 1 species
GCCGGGGUAGCUCAACGGCAGAGCAACGGUUUUGUAAACCGUAGGUUGUGGGUUCGAAUCCCACCCUCGGCU